GAUGAACGCUGGCGGCGUGCCUAAUACAUGCAAGUCGAGCGAACAGACGAGGAGCUUGCUCCUCUGACGUUAGCGGCGGACGGGUGAGUAACACGUGGAUAACCUACCUAUAAGACUGGGAUAACUUCGGGAAACCGGAGCUAAUACCGGAAAACCUGUUGCACCGCAUUGUUCAACAGUGGAAGACGGUCUUUCUUUCACUUAUAGAUUGAUCCGCGCCGCAUUAGGUAGUUGGUAAGGUAACGGCUUACCCAGGCAACGAUGCGUAGCCGACCUGAGAGGGUGACUGGACAGAUUGGAACUGAGACACGGUCCAGACUCCUACGGGAGGCAGCAGUAGGGACUCUUCCGCAAUGGGCGAAAGCCUGACGGAGCAACGCCGCGUGAGUGAAGAAGGUCUUCGGCUCGUAAAACUCUGUUAUUAGGGAAGAACAAAUGUGUAAGUAACUAUGAACGUCUUGACGGUACCUAAUCAGAAAGCCACGGCUAACUACGUG
rnacentral:rRNA from 1 species